UGCCAAGCAGGAGAAGCGUCCGGGGG
rnacentral:piRNA from 1 species